GAUGAAGAACGCAGCGAAAUGUGAUAAGUAAUGCGAAUUGCAGAAUUCAGUGAGUCAUCGAAUCUUUGAACGCACAUUGCGCCCUGUGGUAUUCCGCAGGGCAUGCCUGUUCGAGCGUCAUUUCAACCCUCAAGCUCUGCUUGGUGUUGGGCCCUGCCCGCUGCGGCCGGCCCUAAAGACAGUGGCGGUGCCGCCUGGCCCUGAGCGUAGUACAUCUCUCGCUCCAGUGCCCGGUGGUAGCCUGCCAGAACCCCAACUCUCGUGGUUGACCUCGGAUCAGGGAGGGAUACCCGCUGAACUUAAGCAUAUCAAUAAGCGGAGGA
rnacentral:misc_RNA from 1 species